UGAAGUCGGAAUUGCUAGUAAUCGCGGAUCAGCAUGCCGCGGUGAAUACGUUCCCGGGCCUUGUACACACCGCCCGUCACACCAUGAGAGUCGAUAACACCCGAAGCCUGUAGUCUAACCAUAUGGGGGACGCAGUCGAAGGUGGGAUUGAUAAUUAGGGUGAAGUCGUAACAAGGUACC
rnacentral:rRNA from 1 species